GCCCCCAUAGCUCAGCGGAUAGAGCGUUGCCCUCCGGAGGCAAAGGCACAGGUUCGAUUCCUGUUGGGGGUA
rnacentral:tRNA from 1 species